GACGAACGCUGGCGGCGUGCUUAACACAUGCAAGUCGAACGGUGAAGCGCUUGCCUUUUUGGUGGGUGUGGAUGAGUGGCGAACGGGUGAGUAACACGUGAGUAACCUGCCCUCUUCUUCUGGAUAACCUCAUGAAAGUGGGGCUAAUACGGGGUAUUCCGGGUCUGUCGCAUGGCGGGUUUGGGAAAGAUUGCGCCUUUGGGUGUUUUCGGUGGGGGAUGGGCUCGCGGCCUACCAGCUUGUUGGUGGGGUGUUGGCCUACCAAGGCGGUGACGGGUAGCCGGCCUGAGAGGGUGGACGGCCACACUGGGACUGAGACACGGCCCAGACUCCUGCGGGAGGCAGCAGUGGGGAAUAUUGCACAAUGGGCGCAAGCCUGAUGCAGCGACGCCGCGUGAGGGAUGGAGGCCGUCGGGUUGUGAACCUCUUUCGCCAGUGAAGCAGGCCUGCUCCUGUGUGGGUGGGUUGACGGUAGCUGGAUAAGAAGCGCCGGCUAACUACGCG
rnacentral:rRNA from 1 species